AUGGGCGUGACAGCAAAAACCAUUUUACAUAGCGUGGUUGUUUAUUUUAUAAUUUUUCUUGUUUCAUAAACAUCAUCAGUAUCAUGCGUAUUGCAUCCACUCUUGUCUCCUCUGCGGCAGUGUCGAGCCGGGGCAGAAGGUCGACUGCCUCGGCUGGUUGGGGCCGCUCGUGCUCGGUCAGGCUGGAGCGCCUGCUGAUGGACGCGGAGCGGCGCACCUGCUGGGCCGGGCGCCGCACAUACAAGCUGCGCACCACCGAGCCCGCACCCACACCUAACGUCACCACCACAAUCUUUCAAUGUCACCAUUGCGGCAAACGGUUCAGGAACAAGUCGGUUUUGAAGAAACACGUACACAUUCACUCACCUUUACACAAUUCAACCGGAGAAGAUUAUGGGUUGGAAAACGAAAAACCUAAAUACAGGGAUAAGGAAUACACAAGUGAUCGCCAAAUAAAUCUACGAAGCGGAAUGAAACACUCUAGUAAGAAGCAGUUUCUUGAUUACACAUCUGAUGAUGAAAUAAACUUACAGGAGUUACAGGCUCACCUGAUUAUACGCACCGGUGAAAAACCUUUCAGGUGCAGCCACUGUGGCUACAAGUGUAAAAAGAAAUCAGGUAUACUGUUACACCUGAUGAUUCACACUGGCGAUAAGCCUUUCCAGUGUAGGUACUGUGACCAUAAGAGCCGUCGCAAAGGACAUUUACGAAUUCACGAGAUGACACACACUGGUCAAACGCCGUUUAAGUGUGAUCAAUGCGAUAAAAAGUGUUGUACGCAAGCUUCGUUAGAUCAUCAUCUCUUGACCCACACAGACGAGAAGCCUUACAAGUGUGCGUACUGCGACUAUAGGUGCCGUCAGAAAGUAAACAUGAGAUGACACAUACACGUGAAAAACCCUUUAAAUGCAACUACUGCGACUACAAAUGCAGACAUAAACGUCAGUUGCGAAAUCAUGAGGCGGAACAUACAGAUGAAGAG